rnacentral:rRNA from 1 species
GACGAACGCUGGCGGCGUGCUUAACACAUGCAAGUCGAACGGAAAUUACCUGCUUUUGUGGGGUGCUCGAGUGUCGAACUGGUGAUUAACACGUGAGUAACCUGCCCUUGACUUUGGGAUUACUUCAGGAAACUGGGGCUAAUACCGGAUAGGAGCUCCUGCUUCAUGGUGUGGGUUGGCAUGUUUCGGCGGUUGGGGAUUUACUCGCGGCUUAUCAGCUUGUUUGUGGUGUAGUGGAUUACCAAGGCUUUGACGGGUAGCCGGCCUGAGAGGGUGACCGGACACAUUGGGAUGGAGAUAAGGCACAGACUCAUACGGGAGGCAGCAGUGGGGAAGAGUGCACAAUGGGAGGAAGCAUGAUGCAGCAAAGCCGCGUGCGGGAUGACGGGAUUCGGGUUGUAAACCGAUUUCGCCUGUGACGAAGAGUGAGUGACGGUAAUGGGUAAAGAAGCACCGGCUAAAUACGUG